rnacentral:lncRNA from 1 species
UGAAUCAAAGAACACAAUCAUCGACUUUGUCCUGUCCACAUAUUAGGGUUAUACUACUUCACCAUUCCAAGCAAGGAUAGAAGGUCAAAGGACUGUUAGAAGCACUCUGCCCCAAAUUACAGCUCAGGUGUUCGAUAAAAUGCUUGUACCAGAUCACUGAAGAAGUUGGAUUCCUUGAACAAAAAACUGCUCUAUAUUUUGCUUUGGUCGUUAGCUUAUCAAAAUUAGGGGCUUUAUUGGAUUGCAAUUUGGUGAGUUUGGAGUCAUGAGCAUAGGGGAUUUCCUCAACCUUCAUUUUUCCAAACUUAAAUUUACAUUGGUCCACAGGUAGAAUAGACGACAAGACCAAAAACUACCUAUGACAUUGGUUAUGACUAUAAUACAGUUUUUUUGUAGAUUGAAGAAGGCAAACUUGGUUAUCAAGGAGCUCGUUGAGGAAAAGGAUGAUGAAAAAUAAAAGUAAAUGGAAUUAUUGCAGGGUCGUUGGUUGUAAAAGAAAAGGAUAAGGUGGAUAAAGAUACGAUGCUUAAUAAGAUGUGACAAACUGAAGCUAUGAUAACAACUAUUGUUCUAAGAUAGGCCAAAAUGUUUCGAUAUUUAUCGUAUUAGGAUAAUUUCGGUUAUUUGAUGUUUUAGUUGGUGUUUGUAAUUAGAAUGUUUCAUAUGAUUCGAAACCGCAAAGACUAUAACAAAAGUGUUUUGUAUAAUUUUG